AACGAACGCUGGCGGCGUGCCUAAUACAUGCAAGUUGAGCGAGAAAGCCUCUUCGGAGGUGAGUAAAGCGGCGCACGGGUGAGUAACACGUGGGCAACCUACCCUUGAGUCUGGGAUAACCCGGGGAAACUCGGGCUAAUACCAGAUACGGCUGCGGGGUCUUCGGAUCCUGUGGAGAAAGAUGGCCUCUUCUUGAAAGCUAUCUCUCGAGGAUGGGCCCGCGUCCUAUUAGCAGUUGGUGAGGUAACGGCUCACCAAGGCAAAGAUGGGUAGCUGGUCUGAGAGGAUGGCCAGCCACACUGGGACUGAGACACGGCCCAGACUCCUACGGGAGGCAGCAGUGGGAAUCUUGCGCAAUGGGCGAAAGCCUGACGCAGCGACGCCGCGUGAGGGAUGACGGCCCUUCAGGUUGUAAACCUACUUUCAGCUCCGACGAAGCGAGAGUGACGGUAGGAG
rnacentral:rRNA from 1 species